CCAGUUUAAGAUAUGAAAAUUUUUUCCUGUCAAUUAUAAUUGUUAUAAUAUAUAUUGUAAUUUUUGGUUGGCUCAUCCUGUUACGGCAUUAAUAAUUACCGGCUUAAAAUUUAAAAAUCUUUUUUCGAUGAUUGUAAUUACCGUAAUAGGUGUUUCAACCCUCAUCUGCCUAAUAUCCUAUUAUGACAAAAAUAAAUACCACAAAUAUUUGCUGCCAAAAGUCCUAACCUUUUUCGAUAAUUAAAGGGCCUUUACCGACACUAUCAUUAAUCAUUGAUAAAACCUUUUCUGACACUGUCUUAGGUGGUAGAAUGUCUUUUGCUAGUAAACUCUUUAGUGGUGAUUAUAAUCGCCACUAAAGGUAAAAAAAACUGCCAUCAAAAUCUAUUUCUAUUGUAGUAACUUUAAUUAACUCAGUCACUGAGGUAGAGUACAUUACUACUAGUAAAGCUACUAAGAAAGCUAUCUAGAUAAAGAAAUUUAUCUCUAUGUCGGUUGUGGUUUCAAAGAUUGAACACCUCGUGUCACUUUAUUGUGACAAAAUUGGAAUUGUUGCUCAAGCCAAAGAACCAAGGUCCCAUCAAAAAUUCAAGCACAUCCUAAGGUGCUUCCACUUCAUUCAUGAUGUGAUCAUAAAAUGAGUUGACAUCUAGAACAAUAUAGCAGACCCAUUCAUUAAGAUCUUGUCAUUACAGUAAUUUGACCGCCACUUUGAUUGCAUGGGCAUCAAGUAUACGGACAAUUGAUUUUAGUGCAAGUGAGAGAUUGAAAGAAUAAUAUCCUAUAAACCAAUCGCACCAAUCGCAUGAGCGAUGCGAUGAAAUAUUUUUGAUAUUUUAUCUUUCUAAUUCAUGUAUUUGAUAUUAAUUAUUAAUAAAAUUAGAUAUUUUAUUUCAUUAUAUGAAGGAUCUUGAUAUUUAUUUAAGAUUAUAAUGAACCCCAUAUAUUAGGAUAAUGAUUUUAGAGCCAUGAUGAAAUCAUGCCAGUAAGAUCUAAAUCCUUGAUGGCUCUAAUCUAAAAUAUUUUUAAUCAUAGAAUCAUUGCUUCAGGGAUCAAUGAUACUGAUCAGACUAGCAUAUCCUAUGUAUACUCGAUAGAAAGGAUGGUUGACCUCACAAUCACUUGUGUAGAGAAAUAAUAUAAGGAGGUGGAUGCUCAUUGGAGGAUAAGUUCACUAAAUUGACCUAACGAGAGAACAUCUGAUGGGUUCUUAUAUGCAUGUCAACUGAUUGUUCUUUAGUAGAGGUAGUGUAAGUGAUCCUACGACCUGAGAUCACUAUGGUACCUUAUGUAUAUGAAUUUAUAUUUUGGUUCAUUUUCUAGUUUGACUCUCUGAGCAUUGUAUGGGAUGUUCUAGAUAUAGUGAAGUGUACAUGAAGAUUGUGAGUGGUCAACAAGGAAUUAGUCACUUCUUAUAAAGGAAAAGAACAUCCUAUGUGAUCUCGUAGGAUGAUGACUCAAGAAGUCUUUGACCAAAGUAGGAUGAUAAUUAGAAAGAAUUUCUAAUAUAUCAUCAACUGAGUCAUCAUCUUUUGAUCGAGAUAUACAUGGAUAAGUAUUUGGACUUGACAUGAUUUCAUGUCCAUAGCUUAUCUGGGAUGCUGUAUGAUCGAAAGAUUGAAUUGCAUAAUAACUCGUCACUAAAGGAUAUUUUUAAUAUUUUCAUCAAAAUUUUAUAUCUUCUAAGUAGUCAGAAAAUGUUGUUAGACAUCAAUCUUCACUUGUGGACUCGCAAGAAUUAAAGAGUUUAAUUCAGCAAUCAAUUAGAAAGAGUUCUAAUUAAUUGGAAUAUUUGGGCUUAUCUAUUCUAAUUGAAAUAGUUUGGUCAUGAGUCUAAGUCUACUACUGGCUAGAUGUGGAAUCCAAUGGAUCACACACUUAAGAAUUUGAUUAUGGACUAAUCUAAUUGGAUUUAUUAAAAAUUCUAUAGGUUUAAUUGAUAUGUUAGUACAUGAAUUAAUCCAAAUUUCCAAUCAACCUUAGUCCAAAGCUAUUUAAGCUAACCUAGAACUUGAUGCCUCAACCUAGUCUGAUUAGGCUCAAACCUACAGACUCCUAGGUGUCUAAACCUUAUCACAUGAAGUGUUUCAUGUGAACCUAAACUCCACACCUCCAUGCCAUUUAUUUUCAUCACCAUAUUUAUUUGAGGUGCCCAGAAGGAAGAGUCCUUUUGGGAUACUCUUCUUAACUUCCUCCAUGCCUUAUUUAAUCCAUGCGCCAUCUGAUGGUGCCUUGGGGAGUGUGCAUAGAAGAGGUGAAGUCCUUCUGCUUUAAGACUCUUCCACACCCAUUUGUUUUCACAUGUUGGUAUUUAUCUCAUACCAAAACCAAUGAGUUGGUCCCACAUGAGAUAAUGUAGUGCCAUGGGUUGUUUUCCAUGCCCCUUCAUUUUAUAUAAAUAAGGGGAUGCUAAAAUGGGAUUGACAUGGAUUUGAAAGAGGUGUUAGGCAUGGGUUUUGAAGAGGAAAGGAAGAAAAAAUCAAAAGAAAAGAAAAGAAAAAGAAGAAAAAAAUAGAGAGAAAAAUAAGGGAGCAAGAAAGAUAGAUUGUCUGCUUCUCUUAGUGGUUGAUAUAUCCAAGAGUUGGAUAUCUUAAUCAAAUCAGGGCAUGUCAAUUUUUUGAGAAAAGAUUUUUGGCAUGGUGAAGUGGAGUUUUGAAGGCUAUCAGGUUGAAGUGCAAUUCAUCCUUAAGAAGAAAAGUUGGCUAAGUUGCUAUGAAGCUAUCUUCAGUAUAGCAUCAGAUUGAGAAGGUCUGUGAUCGAUCCUAUGUGAACUAUCAUUGGAGGACAUCCACGAAGGUGUUUUGUGAAGGUCAUUCAUGUAUUUCAUCAUCAUCUUUUGGAAGGUAUAAUUCUUAUCUUGAUUAUUAUGCAUGUUAUGUUUGAUGGUAAUCAGCAAGGUCUUUCUAGGAUUGAGUUUCAAUUUGCUUAUUUUUAAUAGUUAAAAAUAUAUUAAAAUUUUUGAAAAUCAUAUUUCGCUGUACAGUCAAAAUCCAACAGCAACUCCUAAACAUUGUAGAGAGGACUAUGGUACUCAGUUUGGAUCCAUUUGAGGUCCUUUUCUACCAAGAUGCUCUUUUCAACAUCCAAAUUAACUUGAAGCCACCUCAGAUGAAGCCUCACCAAACCCCAUGGAGGCUCGAUCAGAGAUUCUUGAUUGCUCUCUCUCUCUGUUUGUAGAUCUUUAAUCAGGAGUUUCCAUUAGAAAGAAAGGAAAAUGAAAGGAAGAGAAGAGACAAGAGGGAAGACCAAAAGGGGGACCAAAAAACUGUGAACCUACUGAAGACCAAUGGCAAACAUGGGGCUUCAACAUGAACUCUGUGGGUGCACCAAAAGGAUGCAAUGGGGAAGAACAAUGGUGGCAGAUAUACCAUAAAGAACUCAAUGCACUGUCCUCCUUCUCUAGCACUAGUAAACAAAAAGACAUAAUAGGGAAAAGCACAUACUCCAAGUUUAUAUAAGGCCUCAAAAGGCUCUAAUAGGCAUGACCAUUCAAAACCAACAGUCCAAUAAUCAAGCAUGUGUUAGCUAGCCAUUCGGCUUUAAAUCGUCAUCAGGAUCAUAAGCAGCAAAGCAUCCAAUCAUCAUAUUAGAAGUUCCACAACACAUGAUAUUGCUUUGAGAAUUGUGGAUGUCGGCACUUCUCUCAUAAUUAUCUAGAAGCCUCUUGUAGUAGAUUCAGAAAGACAACUGAAGUAGCAUGGCCCCACAGCUCGGCUUCAUAGCUCAAUUUCAUGGCUAGGUUACGACUUCAUAGCUCAACUCUACAACUUGAGUUCACAAUGCCACAAUCAAUCAUCAUCUACAACUCUUCUACUUCCUACAUCCAUGCUGACAAGUCACCUCAACCUCAAAAUUAGAGGAGAAAGUCAUAUACCUCAAAAUCGACCUAGGCCAUAAUGGCAAAACCAAUCAAUUAGAAUCUACUACAAAGCCCUCAACUUGACCAACCAGUAUCUAUCAUGUAGACACUCCGAAGGUGCAUGAAUGCUCAAAUCUCCCCUUAUUCGAUUAUUGCUGACCCAUAAUGGUGGAACAAUCUCCAUAACCAUAAGAUACAUAGGGAAUCAUCCCAUGAUAUCUUUGGAUAUACAAGUGAUUAUCUACAACAAUCAUCCUCGAACAUCCCACAAUCCUAUCAAAAUGGGCUCCAGCCAUCACCUUUAUAAACUACUUUAGAGGGAUCCUUCAAGUAACUUCCAAGGUUGCAAGUAGUUUUAGACUAAAUAAAGUUGCUCUGCAACAAAACUCUCCUUCUAGAACUCUCUAUGCUCUCUCUCUCUCUCUCUUUCUGCCACCUACUUAGAAUCUCUCCUAUUUUUUUUAAAUGUAUCUAAUUGAGGCAUCGGAGGAUCUCCUACCGAACACUCUCUGGCAAGUAGACUUUCCUUGUCUGUGGUGUUUCAGAAACGACCCUAGUGUUGGAGUGAAGAUCCGGCCACUAUCAGCCAUCUUCCAAGGUGCCUCAAGAUCUCUAGCUAACUUCUUGGGUCCCUAAGCCACCUUAUGGAGAUCUCCAACACACUAGCUAGCUUGACGGCCUAAUCAGAUCAAUCCUCAAUGGCAACACUUGCAAAGAAAAAUCACCUAGUAGCCAGAACUGUGGAGUCUACAAAUAACCAUGAUUAUAUGUUUCAGUCCAAAGGCAUGAUAUUUCAAAAAACAUGGUUUCUAGCAACACAUCUACAUCAUGCAUGUGAUGAUGCUAGGUUAUGUACAAAUAAUGUUGCAGUGAUUGAAGGGUCCUAUGACUACUUCUAUUGCCAAAUAGUUUUUAUAUGAGAGGUGUGAUAAUCUACUGCUCAAAAAAGUGUAUUAAGCAAGCAACAAGAGGAUAGGAUGUACAUUGACAUAUAAGGCCUAAAAGAUGCAUGACACAAAGAAAAUGGAUAAUUAGAUAAGAAGGUUUUGUUAUGGUGGAUUUGAAAGUAUUGUGGCAAUUAAUAGUUGACAUGAUAUGAUGUGCAAAGAUUUAUCCAAUUCAUGCCCCAUGUGGUGACCUCAAAGCUGCCAAAGACUCUCUAAGGCACUCUAGACAGUCCUUCUCAAGCAAGCAUGGCAAUCAGGCUGAGCAGAUUAAAAGUGACAAAUCUCCAAAGUCGACACCUCCUAGCUCAACUCAAUGACCUCGAAUGCCGAUCCAUGCCGAGCAAAGUCUUUCCCUAGAAGAAGCCUCUUGGUUCCUAUUUUUGAAAGGCUUAUAUAACUCCAACACAUGUGAGGUUGUUACAGCACAUCCUCGAGUUUGUUAGGGCAUGAUCCCAGACAUUUGGAACUUCAAUUAUAAAUAGGUUCAAAUGCAUGCCCUCUGCAAUGGGAGAUAAUAGUCUUAACCUAGAGGAGACCCAACUCCUCUAUUCUUCCUUUCUUUCUUUCUUUCUACAGUUCCUAUUGAAGAAACCUUUUAUUGACUUAAACCACCAAAGCUGAGGAUGAUAGCAAAGAUGAGGUUCCACCCAGAGAAAGGCUUGGGGAUAAAGAUGCAAGGGAGAAUUAAGUUUAUACAACCAAGUGUCUAGCUGGAGUCAAUCCGACAAGUCUUUACCAUUUGUCUGUUAUCUUGUAGGUACAUGAAAGUAACCCAUGUCAUCCUUCAAGGGCACACAAAGGUACAAAUACUUAUAACUGUAGCAUUUGAUGCAUGGUGAUUUGGUUAUAGAUUACUUCCAAAGCUGCAUGUCAUGCCUCUGACCUAAGAUCAUGAGCCAGGGGUUAUGGUAACGACUGCAUACUUUUAAAGAAUUCUUCCCACAAGUAUACAAGGCAUCUCAUUACGAUAUCAUAAAGCAAUAGUAAAAUAAAAUUUAAAUAUUUAAUAUUUAAUUUUAAUUCAAAUAACUAAAUCAAGUAUCUUACAAAAUAAGAUCUCAUAGUUUUUCAUCAACUUCAAUAUAUCCUAAUAUAAAAUAAAGACAUCAAAUCCUACUUUUAAUUCUCUCUCCCAAUUUAAAUUUUAAAAUCAAGCUAGUUCUUUGAAUAUAUAAAAAUAAUAAAAUAUAGAAUAAUGAGCUAGACAGUCUAGUAAGUAAUGUAUGCAUUAGCUAGAUAAAUUUAGCAAUAGAAAUAUACCAAAAGUAAGCAUGCAAGUGUAUCAAUUCAAUAUAUAUAAUAUUAAUUGAAUAAGAUCCAUGCAAGAUUUUUUUUGUUCAUAAAUUGAUUCCUUUCAAAAUAUCAUAUUCAUCUCGAUAGCCAUAAAUUAAAUCAAAAUGCCACUACAUAACCUUCAAUUAUAGAGUAUAAAGUACCAACGCACAACUCUUAUUGAUAGGAUAUCCAAAUACUAGUGCAUAAUCUUCAUUGACAGAGUAUCAAAGUAUCAAUGCUCAACCCCCAUUGGAAAGAUAUUAAAAUAUCAGUGCACAACCCCAUUGGCAGGGUAUUGAAAUACUAGCAUCUAACCCCCACCGAUAGAGUAUCAAAAUACUAGUGUUUAACCCCCUCUACAGGGUUCAAUACUUAAUUAGGCCAUAAGUCAAAAUCCAUCUAAAAUUGAAAUACAUUUUCAUAUUCCAAUUUGAAAAGUCAUGAAUCAGGUAAUAUCAAAUUCAAUCGAUAUAAUCCAUAGCAAAUUCAAUUUGAUUUAUCAUAAAUCAUUUAACAUAUUGAAAAAAGAUAUAUUCGAUAAUCCAAAAUACCAUACAUCGAAUUUAUAAAUCAUGAAUUAUUCAAUACAGAAAAUAUUUUAUAAUUUACUAAUAGAUGUAGAAAAAGUGAAGUAUUACUUAGCUUACAAGCAAAACUAAUCAACUAAUUAAAUUAAUUUUGAGAAUCUCUCUCAGAACUCAACACCAUUACAUUAGAAACUUGUAUAUCUCACCGUGUAAGAGCAUAGACCUUUUUUUGGAUCCAGAGUGUCAAGCUUCUAUCCUCAUUCUAUUCAAUUAUUGGGGCAAGUUGACUCUCUAUAUUUUUUGUGGAUAUUCAGUUAUUUCGUGGCCCUUCUGAUCACAACCAAAAUAUGGAUUAAUAUUCUAGUCUUUUUUACUAUGAGCUUUACCAUAUCUAAAAUACUUGAUACUAUCAGUCAAUCUAGAAUUAUUACUUACUAAUAUUUUAUUUGAACUAUCGAUAUUUUUACUAUUCUACCAUUGAUAUUUAUUUUACAUAUUUUUCUUCUUUUAAUUCCUUUCUCAUUUUGUAUGUUUCUUAUUAAUUUUUUUUAAUUAUCAAUAUUUUAUUCACCAUAUUUGGAUAAAUAGUUAAUUCAUAUGGUAUCAUUUGUUUUCUAAUUUUUAUCGUCAGUCCCAUUUCAAAUUUAUACACUCAGUCACACUUAGUCUCAACCAACCUCAGAAUAAACUUUUAAAGCUCCAUAAAUUUAGCUUCAUAUUCUAUAACUAUUAUAAUUUUUUAUUUCAAAUAAAUAAACUCCUAUUCUUCUAUGUCCUUACGUUUCGAAAAAAAUAUUGAUUAUAAAAUGUCCUUCAAGAUUUUUUUUAGAUAAGUUGUUCUCCAUUUUGUUCAUAUUUAUGUUAUAGUCUCUACCACCAAUUGAAUGCUUCAUCUUGCAAUAUGUAUAAUGUAUACAACAUCUUUUUAUCAUCAUGGCA
rnacentral:lncRNA from 1 species